CACAUUAAUGCUAGCUGUUAAUUUUAGCGGUGGGGCAAAGGGCUGGCUAUGAGAUGGCCAGCUGAGGUAAAAUCCCAGAGUAAGAACAAGGUGCUGAUGGCCUGGCAGUGAAGUCAUGGUGAAGUCUUGGUGGAUGUCUUGGCACUGCUAACACACAAGGCAAAGAUUCUUGCCCUCUGCACUGGAAGCUGCUCAUCGCAUGUCAAAACUGCACCACUCGUGUGUUACCAAGUGAACAGCAACAAGCAGAUGUGCCAGUGUUGUGCCCUGGCUUUUCCAGAUCACACUUCUCAUGGCUGCCCUGGACCACAGGCCCAACAUGGCACCCUGGCCCUGUGCAUGGCCUGGGAGGGCUGACUCUGACUGCUGUGAGCCCCAUCCACACCAGACUGCCUUUUCUAGGAAAGCUCUGUUGAGAAGAAAGCAGCAAAUACUGGGUGGUGAUUUG
rnacentral:lncRNA from 1 species